UCCUAAUCUAAACCUAAUCUAAGAAACAAAGAUCCCUUGCCUCAUCUUAUAUGACUAAGACAACGCAUAGAAAUCAUUAUUAUAACGAAUAGACAGAGGCAUUAGACAUGAACAUGAAUCUAGCAAAUUCAAGUCACAAACAAAACAAAAUACAAUGCAUGUUUAAAGGUUCAUAAGACCACCUAGACAAUGUAUAAAAAUGUGAAACUUGCACAUGACAUAAGGUCGAAUGCGAAAAAGGUUUGGGUAAACAUUUAACCCUAAAUCAGAAUGCAAAGAAGUCACACAAG
rnacentral:lncRNA from 1 species